rnacentral:rRNA from 1 species
GCCGAUUAUCUAACCUUUUGGAAGAAGUCGUCGAAGGUGGAAUCAAUAACUGGGGUGAAGUCGUAACAAGGUAGCCGUAUCGGAAGGUGCGGCUGGAUCACCUCCUUU